UGGUUUUCUCCAUUCUCUUCAACUUUUGCUGUCCAAACACACUCUUCCCCACUCCAAAUUCCUCCUAAGGCUUCAAGUUCUCCAAAUGGCCCCAAGACCAAGAAUUUGCAAAAGACAAAGGGGGAAACAUCUUAAGCAAUGGGACAACCUCAAGCUGCAAAGUUUCAAAUUUUCAAAAUCCCUGGGGCUCGAGACAAAUAUCAAACAUGGAUCUCCAAGAGACAAAUCAAACCGGAGAGGGGGUUGGAAAUUGUGGUACCCGAAGCAUGGAACUAGGGGAAUAGAUUUUUGGCUCAACCGGGCGAUGCAUUUGACUCAAUAGUGCGUGAAUUUUACGCAAAUGCCAAAGAUGGAAUGCAGACAAAUCAAUGCAUCGUUAGGGGUGUAGGAGUAGAUUUUUUUCCUGUAGCUAUCAACGCUUACUAUGGCACAACCGACCAUUAAGGAAAUGAUUAUUACUAUAGUGAUUUGAGGCCGAGAAGAAUAACACAGGAGGAUUUGGAUAACAUUGCACAGUCCUUUCACUCCGAGGCUGGGUGGAAUAUAAGGAAUGGAGUUGCGGCCUACAUGAACUAUAUAUUCUUUUUACCAUUGGACAUGGCUAUCCUCGAUUUCAGAACCGGUAUGGCUAGGGCCAAGUACCAGUUCCUGAUCCAAAAGAUGCAGAUGAUGGAAACCAAGGUGAAGAUGAACUUAUGGGAGAUCCUUAGCGUAAGCCAGCCCAAAAUCCUCCACAAAUUGACAUGCAGGGAUUCAUGAGGAAAGGUGACGAGGUUCAUUGGUUUGUUGGUACAUCUAUGUAUCAACACAAUCGAGCAGCUCAAGGCUUCGCUCCUAAUUUUCUACCACCACUAUCAUGGCUUCAAGAUCCCAGUACAUCCCAGAGUUCUACAGGUCUUAUUUCCCACCACUACCACCACCCGAAGGCAAUCAUCACUAGCAGGUCCAGGGAUGCUCUUCAAUCCCUUUGACCCCGAUUUAUUUUGUUAUAUUGGGAAAACGUAACUCUUUAAGUGUGGGGGGAGGAGUGGUUGAAUUGAUUUUCCCUUUUAUAUUUUUAUAUCUUUAACUUUGUUUUAGUAUUUAGCUUUGAUUAUCUUUGGAACUUCUCUUGAAUUGAUUUUGAACUCUUACACUCUCUUGUUCUUUGGGUUUUAUAAAAAAUUGUGCUUUAAUGUUGAAAAAUA